CGCCGGGCGGCGGAGUAACCGGUGAAGUGUCAAAGAGACAGGAGUGGAGGGCUGCGGGGGUGACAGGGUGUGGUCUGCCUGGAGCGGGCGACGUGGGAGAGCGGGGCAGAGGCCUGGGGCUGCGGAUGGUGCCGCGGCGUGCCGGGUGCGGGGGACAGCGAGCAGCUGAGCGAAGGCGAGGGUGUCCAGGCUCGCCAAGUGCCCAGCUCCAAGCUGCUCCAGCGCCCUCGCGGACUGCGGGGCCGGACACCUGCGAGUGAGGAGCGAGUGGCGCUCAGUCUUCCCGGCAAGCGCUGUGAGGACUGCAGACCAUCAAGAAUAAAAAGAACCUUGGCAACCAGAGGCCAUCACAAGACAUCACCAAAGGCAACAGUUGGAAUCAAAGGAGGGAACGGCACAGUGUCCAGCUGGAGGAUCUCCAACCUGAGCAGAUGCCAGUUGACAUGGGAACUCUGAAGAGAGCAAUUUAAGGAUUUUCACAUUUGCUUGCCGUGGUUUUGCCAAGACAGAAUAAUCUCCAAGGUAGGAGACAGUAUACUAUUCUCCAAUUUGUUGGC